GGAAGGCCAGAAGCACCCAUCCUUUAUUUAGAGAAAACCCCAAAGUGGAUUAUAUGCAUCAGUUAGGAGCUCAGGCUAAGGCAAUCCCAGUUCACCAUUCAAGACAUUUUCUACUCUUGAAAACUUCAAAGGACAUUAUGAAAAGCAAAACCUUGAGAUCCAUCUCUGCCUCAAAUCAAGCCAGGAAAAAAGGCUACGGUGGUGGGAACAAGGAAGCAAAACUGACUAUGUUUGAAAGAGUUCAGGAAGCAGAGGGAAAAUGCAGAGGGGCACAGGCCCUCGGGCAGCGGAUUACAGUCACAUUCUCAGAAAAAGAGCGAGAGCUUUGGAAGAUAAGAUGGAGGAACUACAGAGACAGCAGGAGGAGGAACUAUUCCAACUGAGUCAAGACAACUAUAUUCUUCGAGCCAAGUGAAGUAGCAUUGAAGAAUCAAACAAGAAACAAAGGUGGUUGCCUUUUGAGGAAACAUCAGCUCCUGCCACAGAGAAAAAAUAAAAUCAAAAAAAGAAAUAGGAACAAGAGACACUUGUUCAGGGACGUCAACAGAGAGUUCCAGAAACAAGCCUGUCUACCCACUGUGGCUCCAUCCAGUUUCCUCACCACAGAAAGAUGGGCUAAAAACAGAAAAAAAGAA